UACGUAGGGGGCUAGCGUUGUCCGGAAUCAUUGGGCGUAAAGAGCGCGUAGGCGGCCUGUCAAGUCCGGUGUGAAAGUCACAGGCUCAACCUGUGAAUGCCGCUGGAAACUGUCUGGCUAGAGUCCGGAAGGGGCGAGUGGAAUUCCUGGUGUAGCGGUGAAAUGCGCAGAUAUCAGGAGGAACACCUAUGGCGAAGGCAGCUCGCUGGAACGGUACUGACGCUGAGGCGCGAAAGCGUGGGGAGCGAACAGG
rnacentral:rRNA from 1 species